CCUACGGGUGGCAGCAGUGGGGAAUAUUGGACAAUGGGGGGAACCCUGAUCCAGCGACGCCGCGUGAGUGAAGAAGUAUUUCGGUAUGUAAAGCUCUAUCAGCAGGGAAGCAAGAAAUGACGGUACCUGACUAAGAAGCCCAGCCUAAAUACGUGCCAGCAGCCGCGGGAAUACGGAGGGGGCAAGCGUUAUCAGGAUUUACUGGGUGUCAAGGGGGCGUAGACGGCGAUGCAAGUCUGAAGUGAAAGGCGGGGGCCCAACCCCCGGACUGCCUUUGAAACUGUAUGGCUGGAGUGCAGGAGAGGUAAGUGGAAUUCCUGGUGUAGCGGUGAAAUGCGUAGAUAUUAGGAGGAACACCAGUGGCGAAGGCGGCUUACUGGACUGUAACUGACGUUGAGGCUCGAAAGCGUGGGGAGCAAACAGGAUUAGAUACCCUAGUAGUC
rnacentral:rRNA from 1 species